CAUUUAUUUGUAAACAAUAGGAAAAUAUAGAUGCCUUGCAGGAACAUGGCGAGUUCAUGAACGGUGGAGUAUUCUGGCGACGACAGAGUAAAGCUGUUGGGUCGAGAACAGCUGGCGACCUUUGGCAGAUUUUGUUGCUGCAAGGUUUUGCGAAACGAUCCGUUUUGCAUUUUUGUUGGUGUUGCUGCGCGACCGGGUUUGCUUGCAGGUAAGUGUUUGUUGAUUAAUUUUAUUUUUUGUUUGUUUUCAGGUACUGGUGAUUUGGCUUUGGCCAGUUUUGUUGGCCGCAUGUUGGUAUUUGUUGUUUCUCCGUUUUCGGGUACGUCUAGUGUAUAAAUAGGGGUUGCUGCUGUAGGCGAGUAAUUUACAGGUGCAGGCGCAUUAGUUGAACCCAAUGGGGCGGCUGCCAGACGAGAUUUAGCACCAGAAAGUGUAGGAGGGGCUGCAAAAGGUGCUGCUAAAGACUGCAGCUGGCUUUCAGAUAAGUUUAUGGUUUUUUUAGAGCGAUUUUUUGUUGACAUUUUUUGGCUUUUAGGUGUAGCCGCUGCUUGAGGACCAGGACCUGCUGCUGCUGAUUUAAUUUUUCUAACGAUUUGUGUUUUUUUCCAGGUGCAGGCAGGUGCAGAUGAUUGCCAAGAUGCUGCACGAGGACUCGCAGGCGGUGCUGCUGCUGGCUGACAUGGAUUAACAGAUGGACGAGCUGCAGACGGACUAGCUUGACGAGAUGCUGGACGACGUAGAUGAGACGAUGCAUACGACGCUUUACGAUUUGUUUUAUUUUCAGGUACUGGUGCAUUAGACGAGCGGAAAUCUGGACAGGUCGACUGGCGAGGUGGUGCAGACGGUUGCUGGUGGACUUCAGGUAAGUUUUUGUUAGCGUUAGAUUGCAUAUUCAUUGUCUCAUGCCCAAA